GAUGAACGCUGGCGGCGUGCUUAACACAUGCAAGUCGAACGAGAAGUGGAGACGGAAACCUUCGGGCGGAAGACUUUAUUUCGAGUGGCGGACGGGUGAGUAACGCGUGGGUAACCUGCCUCAUACAGGGGGAUAACAGUUGGAAACGACUGUUAAUACCGCAUAAGACCACAGCACCGCAUGGUGCGGGGGUAAAAACUCCGGUGGUAUGAGAUGGACCCGCGUUCGAUUAGCCAGUUGACGGGGUAACGGCCCACCAAAGCGACGAUCGAUAGCCGAUCUGAGAGGAUGACCGGCCACAUUGGGACUGAGACACGGCCCAAACUCCUACGGGAGGCAGCAGUGGGGAAUAUUGCACAAUGGGGGAAACCCUGAUGCAGCGACGCCGCGUGAGUGAAGAAGUAUUUCGGUAUGUAAAGCUCUAUCAGCAGGGAAGAAAAUGACGGUACCUGAGUAAGAAGCCCCGGCUAACUACGUG
rnacentral:rRNA from 1 species